rnacentral:lncRNA from 1 species
CGGAAGUGCAGCAGCAUCAACGCCAGGACCACUUUCAUCUCCGCCAUGGCGAACGCCUGCCCGAUGCAGUUCCUGCAGGCGGGAGUGGGGACUGUGACUGUGCCCAAGUCCCGCAUUUGGGUCCCAUCAACCCAGGAACCUGGCCUGGGACCCCCAACUGCACCCAGCUCAGCCUGAGAGAUAGAGAGAAAGACUAAGCGUGCCUGGGACUCCCAUGUGGGCUUGUAUGUCCCGGAGACUGGGCCUGACUCCAGCUCCCAGCUCAGACCAGCAGAUGGAGAAGGGGAUUUUGAGCACUCCGCCGACCCCUCUAGGACCUACUCAUCCCCAUUCUAUGGACGUUUUCCCAUAAACUGUGAAGGAAUGGAGGGAAGGAGAGCUGGAACUGGGACCAUCUGCAACGUCCCCCUUUUUUUAACUCCCGCACCCAUCAUCCCAUCCCUGCCUCAGACACAGGGCGCUCUUACCUGGGCCCUGCGGAGAACGGAAUAAAAGCCAGAGGGGACCUCCCCUUGCUGUUCUCUGGGUCAAAGCGGAAGGGGUCGUAGACCUGCAGGAUCGCGGUCCUUCAGAAGCUCUUGCACCUCCUGUCGGC